UACGGAGGGUGCAAGCGUUAUCCGGAUUUACUGGGUUUAAAGGGUGCGCAGGCGGAUAUGUAAGUCAGUGGUGAAAUCUCUAGGCUUAACCUGGAAAUUGCCGUUGAUACUAUAUAUCUUGAAUGUUGUGGAGGUAAGCGGGAAUAUGUCAUGUAGCGGUGAAAUGCUUAGAUAUGACAUAGAACACCUAUUGCGGAAGGCAGCUACUACGCAGAUAUUGACGCUCAUGCACGAAAGCGUGGGGAUCAAACAGG
rnacentral:rRNA from 1 species